GAUGAACGCUAGCGGCAGGCUUAACACAUGCAAGUCGAGGGGUAUAACACUUCGGUGUUAGAGACCGGCGCACGGGUGCGUAACGCGUAUGUAAUCUACCUUUUACAGAGGGAUAGCCCAGAGAAAUUUGGAUUAAUACCUCAUGGUAUUAUGGAUAGGCAUCUAUUUAUAAUUAAAGAUUUAUCGGUAAAAGAUGAGCAUGCGUCCCAUUAGCUAGUUGGUAUGGUAACGGCAUACCAAGGCGACGAUGGGUAGGGGUCCUGAGAGGGAGAUCCCCCACGAUGGUACUGAGACACGGACCAGACUCCUACGGGAGGCAGCAGUGAGGAAUAUUGGACAAUGGGCGCAAGCCUGAUCCAGCCAUGCCGCGUGCAGGAUGACUGCCCUAUGGGUUGUAAACUGCUUUUGUACAGGAAGAAACCCUUCUACGAGUAGAAGAUUGACGGUACUGUAAGAAUAAGGAUCGGCUAACUCCGUGCCAGCCGCCGCAGUAA
rnacentral:rRNA from 1 species